AAGUUACAGAAGUUGGGAAGCCAAUACCAGAAAAAAAAAAAAAAAAAAAAAACAUGACAUUUGAAGACCAGUCCAAGUAUGAAUUUUAGGACCAUAUGAAAAAACCAUAAUAAUGUAUGGGGUAUUGUGAAGUUAGGAACUUUUUUGGGGCUUUUAUAGAUAUAGGCAUAUUUUGGCCCAAAAAUUAGAAAAGAGACACAUUUGACUUGAGCUUAUAAGUUUAAGAACUUUUUGAUCUGUGAAAUGACAAUAUUGCCCUCAAUUCCCUUGUCUCUCUGUCGUGCGCCUGAUUUUUCCGACCAACAAUCUUCUGCUUCUCACCGCCGACUCAACACUCUAUCAAAAUCAUAAUUUUCAGGUCCAACAAAAUCGUUCCUUCACCUCUGACAACUCAUACAACAUUUUCUUCACCAACCUCCUCCGUUAAAAUCCGAUAGAUCUACUUAAAAGAGUGUUGAUGCAAAGAAUCUAAACUCUAUGGGGAUAAUGUCUAGGGAAUCCACGGAUUCUAAUUUUAGACACAAAUUAAAUCAAUUCAUUCUAAACCAAAUUUAGUUGCUAGUGUCGACGAAGCUUCCCAUCACGGUUUGUAACAUGAGAUCUUGAAAGCAGGCAGUCAAAGGCUGGUCGAUUAGGCCUUCAAACUGCAAUUUUCAAAUCUCAAAUUGGAGAUUGGAAAUCAGAUAAAUAUAACUUUUAUGGUCGUAUUUUGGGGCAAAAAG
rnacentral:sRNA from 1 species